CAGAAGCAGAUGGAGAAGCUGCAUUGUUGCAGUUGAGCAACAUGGAUUGUACUGCAGCAAACAAUGAAGCCAUAGCUGCACUAUUGCUGUUAGGAAACAUUAAGGUGGAUCCAACUCCAACAGGUCAAUGUCUGGAUCGGGAUGAAGGCCUCUCUUUCUGGAGAAUAGGACGCAAGUGCUUUUUUGUGCAUUCAGUGUAAACCCAUUCUCGUCUGCCCAU